AGAAGAGAUCUUGGUCUAUCACUAGCACCAUGUGCAAGGAUCAGAUACGGACCGUAGGGGGAAAGAUCGGGCUUCUAAUCACAGCCCUGUGUCUCUGUAGCUCUUUCAGAUGCAAGUGCCAGAAACCCAAUGAAACAAGAAAUUUUCCUUGACCCUUUCGUGGGCCUCGCGACGGGGGUGCCUUACUUCCUCAGUCCGCAGCUCUCAACUCCUCAUGGUAGGGGGAGCACGCAGGAGCACCCAGUCUCUCCUACUAUAGGUGGACUUUAUUUCUGCACCAGGGAAGACAGACCUCUGCUAAUUCUGGACUCAAACACUGAUGGCUCUAGCCCUGGAGAAGAAAGAGGAUCUCCUUUAUCGAGGGCCAGCAGGUGAACCUUGCAAAACCCAGAACAGCCAGCCCUGAUCUUUGGUUUUGAUGGCGUGAGAAAUCACAGAACAAGUUUCCAGGCAUCAAGAAUCUGGGGACAGCUUGGCUCAAUGGUUCCAGUUCUGGUUUCUCAUGAGGUUGUACUCAAGAUACCAGCCAGGGCUGCAGUCAAAUAAAGGCUCAACUAGGGCUGGAGCAUCUGCUUCCAAGGUGGCUCACUCACACGCCUAGGAGGUUGGUGCUGACUGUUGGUGGGAGGCCUUAGUUCCUCUCUCCAUAUGGUCCUCUCUACAGGGCUGUGUAUGUGUCCCCAUGACAAGGUUACUAGCUUCUUCCAGAGCAAACUGUCCAAGAGCCCAAGGUGGUAGCUAGGCUGUCUUUUAUGAUCUAACCUCAGAGGUCACACAUCUGCAACGUCUUAUUCAGUAUAGGAAGGAUCUACACAAGGACUUGAAUGUCAAGAGGCAAGGAUCAUUACAGUCCUCCUUGGAGGUUGGCUGACACAGCAAAUGUUUAGCUCACUCUGCUAGGGCUGGGAGAGCUGGAACUGUCAAGCAUUUCAUACCACAUUUACCAGAGACAUACACAUGACAGUCCAAAUAAAAAAUACUCUAAAGUCAUGGACAGCCACCUGUCUCUUUGGGCUGCAGCCCUGCUCUGCUCACUGCACAUAGCAGUCCUAGUGGACUCAGAUGGUAAAUGGGGAGCCAAAAAUGUGGCUUUUGGUGCCUCUACAGGCCCCUCAUCCUGUCCAUCUGAUUUCCUAUCCUGGACAUAUCUCUUUGCACAUCCCACAUCCCCUACUUCUUAUCGAAAUGGGCCUGGUCCUAUAUUUCAUCUUCUUAAAUCUUUCGUUUCAUCUAGAGCUUGUAAAGCUCUAAGUCUGGAAUACUAAU
rnacentral:lncRNA from 10 species